rnacentral:rRNA from 1 species
CCUACGGGUGGCAGCAGUGAGGAAUAUUGGUCAAUGGCCGGAAGGCUGAACCAGCCAUGCCGCGUGAAGGUCAGUGCCCUAUGGGCGUUAAACUUCUUUUGUGCGGGAGCAAUAAUGGUCACGUGUGGCCAGACGAGAGUACCGUACGAAUAAGCAUCGGCUAACUCCGUGCCAGCAGCCGCGGUAAUACGUAGGGAGCGAGCGUUGUCCGGAAUUACUGGGUGUAAAGGGAGCGUAGGCGGGGAUGCAAGUUGGGUGUCAAAACUACCGGCUCAACUGGUAGUCGCACUCAAAACUGCAGCUCUUGAGUGAAGUAGAGGCAGGCGGAAUUCCUAGUGUAGCGGUGAAAUGCGUAGAUAUUAGGAGGAACACCAGUGGCGAAGGCGGCCUGCUGGGCUUUUACUGACGCUGAGGCUCGAAAGUGUGGGGAGCAAACAGGAUUAGAUACCCUAGUAGUC